rnacentral:piRNA from 1 species
UCAUGGGAAGGCUCAGAAAAACAGGG